AUUGAACGCUGGCGGCAGGCCUAACACAUGCAAGUCGAGCGGAUGACGGGAGCUUGCUCCUCGAUUCAGCGGCGGACGGGUGAGUAAUACCUAGGAAUCUGCCUGAUAGUGGGGGACAACGUUUCGAAAGGAACGCUAAUACCGCAUACGUCCUACGGGGGAAAGCAGGGGACCUUCGGGCCUUGCGCUAUCAGAUGAGCCUAGGUCGGAUUAGCUAGUUGGUGAGUUAAUGGCUCACCAAGGCGACGAUCCGUAACUGGUCUGAGAGGAUGAUCAGUCACACUGGAACUGAGACACGGUCCAGACUCCUACGGGAGGCAGCAGUGGGGAAUAUUGGACAAUGGGCGAAAGCCUGAUCCAGCCAUGCCGCGUGUGUGAAGAAGGUCUUCGGAUUGUAAAGCACUUUAAGUUGGGAGGAAGGGCAGUAAGCUAAUACCUUGCUGUUUUGACGGUACCGACAGAAUAAGCACCGGCUAACUCUGUGCCAGCCGCCGCCGUAACAC
rnacentral:rRNA from 1 species